UACGUAGGCAGCAAGCGUUGUUCGGAGUUACUGGGCGUAAAGGGUGUGUAGGCGGUUCUUUAAGUUUGGUGUGAAAUCUCCCGGCUCAACCGGGAGGGUGCGCCGAAUACUGAGGGACUUGGAGUGCGGGAGAGGAAAGUGGAAUUCCUGGUGUAGCGGUGAAAUGCGUAGAUAUCAGGAGGAACACCGGUGGUGUAGACGGCUUUCUGGACCGUAACUGACGCUGAGACGCGAAAGCGUGGGGAGCGAACAGG
rnacentral:rRNA from 1 species